UAGUAGCUGGCUAAACCAAGGAAG
rnacentral:piRNA from 1 species